rnacentral:rRNA from 1 species
GACGAACGCUGGCGGCGUGCUUAACACAUGCAAGUCGAACGGAAAGGCCCUGCUUUUGUGGGGUGCUCGAGUGGCGAACGGGUGAGUAACACGUGAGUAACCUGCCCUUGACUUUGGGAUAACUUCAGGAAACUGGGGCUAAUACCGGAUAGGAGUUCCUGCUGCAUGGUGGGGGUUGGAAAGUUUCGGCGGUUGGGGAUGGACUCGCGGCUUAUCAGCUUGUGGGUGGGGUAGUGGCUUACCAAGGCUUUGACGGGUAGCCGGCCUGAGAGGGUGACCGGCCACAUUGGGACUGAGAUACGGCCCAGACUCCUACGGGAGGCAGCAGUGGGGAAUAUUGCACAAUGGGCGGAAGCCUGAUGCAGCAACGCCGCGUGCGGGAUGACGGCCUUCGGGUUGUAAACCGCUUUCGCCUGUGACGAAGCGUGAGUGACGGUAAUGGGUAAAGAAGCACCGGCUAACUACGUG